GCUGAUUCCCCACCUUUCUGAAGGUGGUUUUUAUUUUCUCUCACUAAGGUCCCAAUUUGGGCCCCGAGUCUGCUGGAGAAAAGAGAAAGGCUGAGAAGCAGCCUACCUUACCUGUGGCUCUGGGUCUGAGGAUGGCCAGGAGAACAGAGAGCAAAGCAGAGCCAAUGCAAGACCUCUGGCCCUGGAAGCCAAAGUCUAAUAGUGACAGAAAAAAAGGAGGCUAUAACUAUAGCCCUCCUGAAAGAAGUCUCUCACAGGUCAACGCUGGAUCUACUCCAUCAUCAUCUUCACUAGCACACCCAGUUCGAUUGAGGAGCCUUGAUGUGGGAUAUUGAUGGGAUAUUGAGAGAAAAGAGAAAUGGUGAAUCAAGCACUAAUCUCAAAGCUUCUGCACAGAACUACUUACAUGUCACUUCCUCCCAUGACUAUUCCUAAAUUCAGCCAAAAGGGGACACAUAAUCUCUUACGGGGGAGGGCACCACAGGGAGAGAAACCCGAAUACUUGGUGAAUAGUAAUCUACUUUGUUAUAGAAUCUGUCCUCAAUGGUCUUACAGUCUAAGAGCAUUACAUUUAGUUACAGUAGUCUUAAAUAUAAUACUAAAUGAAUUGAAUAGCCAGACAUCUGUGAAAGUAAAACUGUGAUAAUACAAAGUCAGUGUGCUUUUAAGUUUCAAUUGCUUAAAGUUAUUUGGAAGUAAGGAUCACAUGAGUUCAGAGCCCCAGGAUUCAAAAAUAACUCCAGAAUCUUUUAUCACUCCCCAAAGGAAAAGCAAUAAUAAGUAAGUUACCAGACAUUCAUGUAAUCUCUCUGAAACUGUAAGACUAACAAAGGAAAAUUUUCAAAAGGCAAAAAUACUUUAUUAUUUAUUUGCAAUAGAAAUUAUUUA
rnacentral:lncRNA from 1 species